rnacentral:rRNA from 1 species
UGCCCUACGGGGGGCAGCAGUGGGGAAUAUUGCACAAUGGGGGAAACCCUGAUGCAGCAACGCCGCGUGAGUGAAGAAGUAUUUCGGUAUGUAAAGCUCUAUCAGCAGGGAAGAAAAUGACGGUACCUGAGUAAGAAGCCCCGGCUAACUACGUGCCAGCAGCCGCGGUAAUACGUAGGGGGCAAGCGUUAUCCGGAUUUACUGGGUGUAAAGGGUGCGUAGGCGGCCCUGCAAGUCAGAAGUGAAAUCCAUGGGCUUAACCCGUGAACUGCUUUUGAAACUGCAGGACUUGAGUGGAGUAGAGG